UACAGAGGGGGCAAGCGUUGUUCGGAAUUACUGGGCGUAAAGCGCGUGUAGGCGGCUUUGCAAGUCGGGUGUGAAAACCCUCAGCUCAACUGAGGAAGUGCGCCCGAAACUGCAGAGCUUGAGUGCCGGAGAGGGUGGCGGAAUUCCCCAAGUAGAGGUGAAAUUCGUAGAUAUGGGGAGGAACACCGGUGGCGAAGGCGGCCACCUGGACGGUAACUGACGCUGAGACGCGAAAGCGUGGGGAGCAAACAGG
rnacentral:rRNA from 1 species